rnacentral:rRNA from 1 species
AUUGAACGCUGGCGGAAUGCUUUACACAUGCAAGUCGAACGGCAGCACGGACUUCGGUCUGGUGGCGAGUGGCGAACCGGUGAGUAAUACAUCGGAACGUGCCCCGUCGUGGGGGAUAACGUAGCGAAAGCUACGCUAAUACCGCAUACGAUCUAAGGAUGAAAGCGGGGGAUCGCAAGACCUCGCGCGAUUUGAGCGGCCGAUGGCAGAUUAGGUAGUUGGUGGGGUAAAGGCUCACCAAGCCGACGCUCUGUAGCUGGUCUGAGAGGACGGGCAGACAGACUGGGACUGAGACACGGACCAGCCUCCGACGGAAGUCAGCAGUGGGGAAUUUUGGACAAUGGGCGCAAGCCUGAUCCAGCCAUUCCGCGUGCAGGAUGAAGGCCCUCGGGUUGUAAACUGCUUUUGUACGGAACGAAAAGGCUCUGGUUAAUACCUGGGGCUCAUGACGGUACCGUAAGAAUAAGCACCGGCUAACUACGUGCCAGCAGCCGCGGUAA